GAGGUGAUAGAACCUGAACAAAGAAGACGAGGACCAAAUUUGACUCGAGAAAUCCGUGCAACACUUAUUGACCAUGUUAUCAACCAUGGACUGACACUGAUGGAAGCUGGACAAAGAGUUCAACCAAAUCUCAGCAGAAAUACUGUUGCGUCAGUAAUUCGGACAUUUCAUCGAGAAAACAGGAUUGAGGGUCGAGGACACCAAGGUGGAAGGGGCCCUAUGUUUAGUCGUGCACAAGAGGCCGCCAUUGUGAACAUGGUUUUGGCCAAUAAUUGUACCAGGCUACAAGAAAUCCAAGCCAAUAUCAUCAAUGAUGACAAUAUUUUCAAUAACAUCCAACGAGUCUCUCUGUCAACAUUAGGUCGAAUCCUAAAGAAAAAUCAAAUAUACAUGAAGCAACUGUAUCGGGUACCAUUUGACAGAAAUUCAGAGAGAGUGAAACAUCUGCGCAAUGAGUAUGUGGAGAGAGUCUUGCAAAUGGAUGCUGCUGAAAUUCAACAUGAAUUUAUAUAUGUGGAUGAGGCUGGAUUUAACCUUGCAUAAACAAGAAGAAGAGGAGAAAUGUAAUUGGGCACAGGGCAAUCACCAAUGUCCAGGGCAGCGAGGGGGUAACAUCACCCUUUGCGCUGCUAUCACACAAAAUGGGGUCCUCCACCACCAUGCAAAUCUGGGACCCUAUAAUGCAAAUCUGAUACUUGCAUUUCUUGACCGAUUGCAUGAGAUUGUCACAGCAUUACACCAAGUGGACCAGAUGCGGUACAUUGUCGUUUGGGACAAUGUCUCAUUUCAUCGGGCUGCUCUGGUCCAGAACUGGUUCCAUGAUCACCCUGAUUUUGAAGUUUUAUACCUUCCCCCAUACUCCCCCUUCCUGA